rnacentral:rRNA from 1 species
UACAGAGGUCCCAAGCGCUGUUCGGAUUCACUGGGCGUAAAGGGUGCGUAGGCGGUCGGGUAAGUCUGAUGUGAAAUCUCACAGCUUAACUGUGAAACUGCAUUGGAUACUAUCCGGCUAGAGGAAUGGAGGGGAGACUGGAAUACUUGGUGUAGCAGUGAAAUGCGUAGAUAUCAAGUGGAACACCAGUGGCGAAGGCGAGUCUCUGGACAUUUCCUGACGCUGAGGCACGAAAGCCAGGGGAGCAAACGGG